GGGGGGUUUUGGAGGAGCACAGAUGGUUCUUGCAAAGGAAAAGUAAGGGUGUGUGUGUAUGGUUUGGGUUUGUAUGUGUGUAGGCAUUUUACACUGCCAAGCCAGUUAGGUCGCAGCUUGGCACGCCCGGCAAUUUCCCCUUCUUGCUUGUGUAAAACCGAGGGGUAAAAUCCCCCGUCAUCACAGAGCCGGCUUUCUUGGUUCACUGGAGAUUGCGGGGCUAUGCACGGAGAGAGUAGACCUCUUUAGAAUAACUUGCAUGCUAUGAAUGUUUUUAUUUCCUUAUGAUUGAAGAGACUUGCAUGCAAGAAUGAGUAUACAUGAUCUGAGUGUAGGCUACAAACGCAAUUAACUAUUUACAAGUACAAAAACGUCAACAUAUUCUUCAGUCUCUCCAGUUAGAACUACUCUAGUUGAUAUCGCUGCAUUGUCUCUGUCUAGGCAACGCAGCAACCUCUACCCAAGUCCCACUCCUGGAACCACGGAGCUGUCUAACCGCCAAUGUGUGUAGGGUCCAGGAGGGUAGAUUGGGGUUCUACUUCAAGCCGGCAAUUUACUAGUGUAAACGCGGGGACCAUGCCGGGAAAAUAUCGUGCAUAAGAGGGGCAUAUUUGGCAGUGUAAAAACCUUUUGUGAGUGGGUGGGUGGGGGGGUAUAUUGUGUGUGUGUGUGUGUGUGUGUGUGUGUGUGUGUGUGUGUGUGUGUGUGUGUGUGUGUGUGUGUGUGUGUGUGUGUGUGUGUGUGUGUGUGUGUGUGUGUGUGUGUGUGUGUGUGUGUGUGUGUGUUGAAAAGGCAGUGUUGUUGGUGUCCCCUCAUUGCUUUUUUCUUGAGAUGUAAAUUCUGUUGGUCACUGUUGUCAAGGUUUGAGAUUCGGCUCCCGUGCUUUUUAUGUCUGUAUGCGGCAUCGCCAUGGAAUCCCUGCUGGGAUUUAUUGAAAUGCUUCAGAGAGGUGGAGGCUAAAGUCCGCUUUGGUGGCCGGGUUGGACGGCUUUAGACCCUGUAGACCAUAACCCCUGGUGUAGACCAUGUAGGUUUGUGUAGACAUAUAGGGUUGUGUAGAUCCUGUAGGGUUGAGACGACCCUGUAGGGUUGUGUAGAUCCUGUAGGUUUGUGUAGACCUUGUAGGAUUGAGUAGACCCUUUAGGGUUGUCAAGACCAUGCAGGGUUGUGUAGACCAUGUAGGGUUGUGAAGACCAUGUAGGGUUGUGUAGACCCUGUAGGGUUGUAUUGACCAUGUAUGGAUGUGUAAACCAUUUAGGGUUGUGUAGAUAUUUAGGGUUGUGUAGACCAUGUAGGGUUGUAUAGACAUUUAGGGUUGUGUAGACCCUGUAGGGUUGUGUAGACCCUGUACGGUUGUGUAAACCCUGUACGGUUGUGUAAACCCUGUACGGUUGUGUAAACCCUGUAGGGUUGUGUAGACCAUGUAGGGUUGUGUAGACAUUUAGGGUUGUGUAGUCACAAAGACAAUGACAUGUCUUUGUGUGUGUUGUGUUGCUGGUGUGCAUGGUGUCUGAGCAUGUAUGUGUGUUACUGGUGUGUUGAUAUUUGUGUGUGUGUUAUGUUGUUAUUGGUGUGUGUGUGUGUGUGUGUGGUGUUGUGCGCUUAUGUACUUUAAGGAAAAUUGACACUUUUUUGCGGAAUCUGGUUUAAUGGAAAACAACCAUAAUAAGACACACUGGCAACAUUUAGCAAGCAAUGGGUCCAUGACGGAGACAUAAGAGAAGAUACAGAUGGUGUACAGAGAGGUGUACCUCUGUAGGGUCCAUGACUGAGACAUAAGAGAAGAUACAGAUGGUAUACAUAGAGGUGUAUGUCUGCGUACCUUCCUGGCCACCUGAACAGUGAUCUGCGCGACUAAACCUCCCCGAGAGCCACGUUAGCUUAGCAUCAAACACACAGACGUUUCCUCACAGGCUUAGUGACAACGGAGACCGGCUCCAACCACCUGUGUGUUCCCGUAGAGGGGGGGUGGGGGGCCCUGAAGCUCUAUCUCUUCAUCAAACCCCUACCACUCCACACACGCACGUCACACACACUAAAACACACACACACACACACACACACACACACACACACACACACACACACACACACACACACACACACACACACACACACACACACACACCCACACACACACACACACACAC